GGCUCAGUGGUAGAGCAUCUGGUUGGCAUGCAGAAGGUCCCAGGUUCAAUCCCCAACAUCUCACA
rnacentral:tRNA from 1 species